ACAGAUAAUAAUUCAUUAUUUGGUGAGAGCUACUCAAGAGACUGAGAUUGUCAAGGCUGAGUAGAGAGAAGAAAAGGAAAAUUCUGAAUUCUAGGUGAAAGCUGAGGAGGAGGAGCCAGAUAGAAGACACACAAGGGGAUGCUCAGAGAAGUAGAAGUAGAUUCAAGGCACAGAAUUAUUAGGGGAAUGAUUUGUUUAUAUGAUGAGAUUUUGAGUUACUUGAAAAGGAAAAGGAAAAAGAAUAAAAGAAAUGACUACAUAUACAAAGGAAGGGAUCAUUUAUGUAGCCAAGUCUAAAAGGUGGGAAUGGGCAGGACCACAGUAAUCAAAUCUUCAGAGAACUGGGAAGGGGUGAGGAUGAAAGUCAGCACACACAAGCUUUAAGGUUCAGUGAACCAGGAUGAUAGGAACCCUAACAUUCUCAGGAAAGCAGAAGGAACCUCAUCAUCUUCAGAGUAUAGAGUCGAAAGGGAAGUGUGGGACUUUAAGGGUGGGAAAAUUAGUCUGGCUCAGUCAGGAAUGGGCCAUCAGGGGUGAAUAAAGAGUGUGUGAAUCUGGUAGAGCCAGUGACUAAAAUGUUAUGUGUUUUCUUGAUGUAAGAAACAAAGUAAAUAGAUGUGAAACAUAUUUUCAAAUACUUUUCUUUAAAAUAACAUUAUUAGAUUGUUUUAGUCGCAACAAGAUAAGUUAAAAAAAAACACAGAUAUCCUCUGUUUACUUAUUUUUCCUGAGAAUAUGAUGAAUAUUUGGCAUGUUAAUCUGCCCUGGCAGCUCAGGAAGUUCAGGCGACUAACACUGAUAAGGCACGUUGCCACCACUGUGAGAACCUCCAUCUUUCAAAGAGGGGAAGGUUGUUUGUAUUUCUCCAGCGCUGCCAGAUCCACCUCUCCAAUUUCUGAUUCAUUCAACACUUAUCAAGUGGUUUUAUCCUCAAAUCCUCUAGGACAACUCCUUCCCUGGCCAACUGCUCUCCUCUUUGCCUAGGGAAUUAUCCAAAGCAAGAAGUGAUCGUACAUACCCUGGAUUCCCAGAUGAUCAUGGAGCAUGACCAUCAUCUGAGAGAUUAACUUCUGGACUGGAAGAGUUUAAAUCUGUUCUCAACGCUCAGACAUGCAUAGCCCCGGGAGGAACCCAGGGCCACAAGUGCAUUCAACGUACAGAUGAUCAGUGUGUCAAUGUAUCCUGCAUUGCACAUUAAUUCCCACAGCUAGCUGCAUUCUUCAUCGACACACAAGCCAAGCAAUCCACCACUAAGAGUCAUAAAAAGCACUUUGAACAACACAGAAAGACAAAAAUACAGCAACAUCAGAAAGGAUCAAUCACAGUGGGAGCAAGCCAACUGCCACAUAAUGGAAGGCACUCAAGCAACCCUAUGGAGAGUCCCACAAGGUAACUGAAGGUUCUGGCCAAAAGAUAGUGAAGAACUGAGGCUUCAUGUCAACAGCUGAGUGAGUGAACUUGAGAGCAGAUUCUCCAGCCCCAGUCAAGCCUUUGGAUUACUGCAGGCUUGGUCAAUCAUCUUUAUUUUGAUUUUAUGAGAGACCUCACUCCUGAACCACCAGAAGAGUCUAUAGUAGUCAUCCUAAAGCUGAAAGACGUUACACUUAAGGAACUACUACAUACAAGAAGUCUCUCCUGGAUCAUAUUUGUAAUAGAUGCCAACAUCAUGGAUUUCCAGCUGAUGUUGUGACUUUGGAGAGGAUAUGGAUGGGAAGAGGUUACUUGCAGGGAAAGACAAUUCCCAUGUCAUGAAGACACUUCACCGGCCAAGUGGGAAGGCUCACAUCAUGAGCCUAAGGAAACUGAUGCUCAAAGGUGCUUAUUUAAGGUCACACAGCUAAUAAGUGCUAGAGUUAGGAUUCAGAGUCAGACAUUUCAAUUCUAGAGACCGUACUCCUAAACAUUACCCUAUAAUGUCGUACAACAAUCCAGUGAAAUAGGUUAAUAUUAAUCAUCCUCAUUUCCCCAAAUUGGAAAAUGGGGGUAAUAAUCAUCCCUAUUUUACAAAUGAGGAAGUUGGACAUCAAGAAGUAUGGGAGAGUUAGGAUUUAAAUCCAGAUAUUCUGACUGCAGAGACUAGCCUCUUAGCCACUUAGCCAUAUUGCCUUCUCUGACUUAUAAUGUUAGUAAGAAGAGUUGGCUGGGCGCAGUGGCUCACACUUGUAAUCCCAGCACUUUGGGAGGCCAAGGUGGG
rnacentral:lncRNA from 1 species